rnacentral:lncRNA from 1 species
CCUAGGAAGCAUAGGCAAAAGAGUUCAUGAUUGCCUAGGACAACAAAAACAGCAAUAUAAGACAAAAGGAGCACAAACGACCAAUCCAUUCCGCAAUAAACACAAAAUAUGCAGAUAAAUAAUGCUGUUUGGACCAUUAGUGAACCUUCUUCUUUGGUGCCUUGAAAUAGACAGUGACAUUUUUUUCUCAAGUUAAUGAACCUCAGUUGGGUGGUACAUUGACUGGUUAAGGGUGACUUAUGGGCUGGUAGGGGUCAGCUGGCUGCCAAAUUGAAGGGAAAGUUUUUUGCUCUCAUUCCCAGUGCUACCUUUUGAGUCACCUAUAUAGAGAGAAACAGAAAAGCCUUUGAUGACUCCACCUCCUUUCUGAGUGUAUUUUAGAUCACUUGGUUUCGAGCUAGUAUUUUAUACAAGGACUUCCGUACUCAAGAUGAUGCUAAUUUGUUGAUCACAUUGACCUUUUGUCUUUUGAUUCUACAUUGUAAGAUGUACACAGGUUGCACCUCCAUGGUGCCCUAUUUAUGCGAGCUUCUUUUCUCUUCUCAAAAAGAAACUGCUGCUCAGGAUAUAGAUCCAUUAAUUCAUAGGACCUACGAGUCAAAACUUUUCUCUUUAACACUUUUUCUACAACCAACUGAGAAAAAGUCAAUUUCCUCAAGACAUCAUCAAUCGAAGUCAUUCUUCGAUUAUCGUGGCACAACUGGAGAGCUAGGGCACCUUUCACUUUUUUUUUCCUUAAUUAAAAUAUUUUUAGACAGGUGAAGAAAAUGGCAUAUGUUGCCAUUUGAAUUAAGUACCAGCAUUAAUCAUCCAUAAACUGUAAAGUGAAUUGUCGCCCAGUAGCAGACUAGCAGCNNNNNNNNNNNNNNNNNNNNNNNNNNNNNNNNNNNNNNNNNNNNNNNNNNNNNNNNNNNNNNNNNNNNNNNNNNNNNNNNNNNNNNNNNNNNNNNNNNNNNNNNNNNNGAGAUGAUUCUGUAUUAGCAGUCAUUCUGUGUCACAUUAUGAUAGCAAAUUUUUUUAAUGGUCAUUAAGUAGCAAAUAUAAGUGCUAAAAGAUGCAUUUAAGAGCUAAAUAAUGCUUGCAUAAUAAAGAUGACUAUGACUAAAUCAAUCACAUCAAACUAACCCAAGAAGAAAGAUCCAGGUGUGAUAAUGCUUUUUUACAAAAAGAAAAUAAUAAUGCAUAUCAAUUAUGUAGUUUUUCAAUAUAUGUCCAACAGUCCAAGGUCCAGCUAACUCAAUCAUAACAUAAGUAGAUUCACUAAUCAAAUAAAAUUAAAAUUUUGAGUAUUACAUCCCACAAUCAAUUGUUUGCCAAGAUUAAAAAUGUAAGCAAUUACAUGUUUCUGCAUCAUAAACUUUUGUUGAUGAAAAUCACUAUUGAGCAGUUAAAACAUUUUACCUUAUUCUUUUAGUAUAUAUAUAUUUUAAUUUGAUUCAUAAAAGGCCAACAACAGCUGAUAGACCAAAGAACGGGAAGACAAUGAUCUUGUUUCUCUUGAACCCUGAUUACUAGUGUGAAGAAAAUUCAAUCCUAGGCACUUCUAUACCAAAAGCGAGCACCGAACCAACCAGCCACCCAUUUCAUACCUUCCUCUGUUUAUAGUUAUCCUAAAUUUUUUUCUGAAAGACCAUGUGCACAGUGAGAUUAUACAUUAUGUCCCAAAACAUGCUUCCUCAAAGACCCUGAUUAUUAUGUGCGUAAGAGACACAUCCUAGAACUCAAAGGCGCUCAAAUUUGCUAUUAACAAAUUCUUUCCAAUUAUUCCACCAUAGCAAUGCUCAUGUAGAAUUAGCCAAAGGAAAGCAUUAAAGAAAACAGUAAGUCAGCUUCACUUAUAGCCUUCCUGUGCUAAAAAAAUGUGAAAUUGUAACUAAGGAAAAUGACUUACGCUUUGUAGACGUCGCCAAAUGAUCCUCUACCAAUCAACUCCAACUGGCUAAAUCUUGACCCUGCUGCUUCAGCUAAACCCGCAAUAUCAUCCAUGUCUUAAUACAAGAGGAUCUUCCUCUCUCUCUCUAGACACGCUUGACAGAAAUCAAAAUGCAAGAAAUAUGAAGAAAGCCAUGCGCAAAUUCAAGCCAAAUAUCAACAAAUUUCCCUCAUUCUUCGACACCCAAAACCAAUUUCACUAGAAUGGGUAUCUAUACACUCCAAAAUUGGCCUCAAUAACAAUCCUGAAACACCAUUGUCAACACAUUACAUUACACAACAUAUAAAUACACCUAUACGACAACCAUAAACCAAGCAAUCAACACCAACCCAAAAAGCCAACGACAAUUCAAGAUCUGAAAAUCAAAAUGAAGGACAUAUAAAUCACAAUGCUCAUAGUUACACUCGAAGCAAAGCAACCGCAAUGUUAAAAAUAAAUUCCGAAAAUUAAAAAGAAAAAAAAAACAGAAUUCCUGUUAGGUGAAGGAGUGAGAUUUGCUGAAGUGACAGCGCAGCAGAAUUUAUUCUUAGGACUCCCCCCACCCCCGAUAUCGCCUAUUAA